CGAAUGGGGAGAGGAGAGAGAUAGAGAAUGGACCAAUCACAUCAAACCCUUGCCUUUUUCUGGCGGGUUUUCGCCCAUUUUUCCGGCGAAUCACAUCAAACCACCACUUAGAAAACCCUCCAUGACCUUCCCUCUUCCUAUUACACCCCAAAAGAAUCAAGAGAUUUGGCCUUGAAAUUGGGAAAAACGCACCGGUGGGUGCGACGGUGCUUGCUCGAGAUCCAUCAAUUUUGAAAUGAUUUCAUCCAAUUAAUACCACUGUUAGACUCUACUUGAGGUCUGGAACAAAACCCAAACAACUAUAGGGGCGGCGGAGCACCGGAGGUGACAGAUUGAGAUGACCCAAAUUCUAGGGUUAUGGUGGUUCAUGGCCGAAUUCAGGAGUUUCCUGACCAAAUUAGACUUUGGCCCAGGUAUAAAAGUUAUUUCCCUUGGCUUGCUCUACAUUUCUGCAAAAUUUGAGAAAUUUUAGAAAUAGUUAAAUUUUCCGAUGAGUCAGGGCGGUCGAGCGUCACCUAUGGCGGUGCGUGGCUAGUGGGCCAACGUUGCAUUUUUCAUGAAAAUUUCAACAUUCUGAAUCCAUAAUUGGUAAUCAUUGGAUGUCAAAUUGAUUGCGAAAACUAAUGUUGAAUAUGGUGGUUACUACUAGAAUAGGUUGGAAAUUGAUAAAAGAAUGAAAUGUAAACUACGAAAGGCUUGAUCCCGCUUAAGGGUAUGUAGGCAGUCUAACAGUGUUAGAUGCAGCCUUAAAUAAUUCGAGAAUAAAUUUUUAGAAUGGAAAUUGAUCUAUAAAGGAAAUGGUGAUAAAAUGGAAAUAUGAUCAGAUGUUUGGUAAGAAAAUUUUGAAAUUGAAUCAUGGGUGGACUUAUUGAAGUCUUUGAUAAAUGCAAUAUCUUCAUUUAAUGGAGACGAUAUGUUCUUGUUAGUAGCCUUUAACAUAUUCUUAGAAAAGAUUUCAAGAGGUGUUUAUUUCCUCUGUAAUGCAUUCAUGGUUAAAAA
rnacentral:lncRNA from 1 species